GUAGGGAAUAUUGGACAAUGGGCGAAAGCCUGAUCCAGCCAUGCCGCGUGUGUGAAGAAGGUCUUCGGAUUGUAAAGCACUUUAAGUUGGGAGGAAGGGCAGUAAGUUAAUACCUUGCUGUUUUGACGUUACCGACAGAAUAAGCACCGGCUAACUUCGUGCCAGCAGCCGCGGUAAUACGAAGGGUGCAAGCGUUAAUCGGAAUUACUGGGCGUAAAGCGCGCGUAGGUGGUUUUGUAAGUUGGAGGUGAAAUCCCCGGGCUCAACCUGGGAACUGCCUCCAAAACUGCAUGACUAGAGUACGGUAGAGGGUAGUGGAAUUUCCUGUGUAGCGGUGAAAUGCGUAGAUAUAGGAAGGAACACCAGUGGCGAAGGCGACUACCUGGACUGAUACUGACACUGAGGUGCGAAAGCGUGGGGAGCAAACAGGAUUAGAUACCCGGGUAGUCC
rnacentral:rRNA from 1 species